GAUGAACGCUGGCGGCGUGCUUAACACAUGCAAGUCGAACGGAAAGACCCUGCUUUUGUGGGUUUCUCGAUUGCCGAACGCGUGAGUGACACGUGAGUAACCUGCCCUUGUCUUUCGGGGAACUUCAGGAAACUCGGGCUAAUACCGGAUAGGAUCUCCUGCUGCGUGGUGUGCAUUGGAAAGUUUCGGCGGUGGGGGAUGGACUCGCGGCUUAUCAGCUUGUUGGUGGGGUAGUGGCUGACCAAGGCUUUGACGGGUAGCCGGCCUGAGAGGGUGACCGGCGACAUUGGGACUGAGAUACGGCCCAGAAUCCUACGGGCGGCAGCAGUGGGGAAUAUUGCACAAUGGGCGGAAGGCUGAUGCAGAAACGCCGCGUGCGGGAUGACGGCUUUCGGGUUGUAAACAGAUUUCGCCUGUAACGAAGAGUGAGUGACGGUAAUGGGUAAAGAAGCAACGGCUAACUACGUG
rnacentral:rRNA from 1 species